rnacentral:rRNA from 1 species
GCAAACAAGGGGCAGGGGACCGCGGGAAAGCGUGGGGGGCAAGCGUUGUUCGGAAUUAAGGGGCGUAAAGGGCGCGUAGGCGGCACGGCAAGUCAGGAGUGAAAGCCCUGGGCUCAACCCGGGAACUGCUUUUGAGACUGCCGAGCUAGAGUGCGGAAGGGGCAACUGGAAUUCCCAGUGUAGCGGUGAAAUGCGUAGAUAUUGGGAAGAACACCUGAGGCGAAGGCGGGUUGCUGGGCCGACACUGACGCUGAGGCGCGAAAGCCAGGGGAGCGAACGGGAUUAGAUACCCUUGUAGUC